rnacentral:rRNA from 1 species
CCCUAUGGGGUGCAGCAGGCACUUCGGGCCAGCGAAAAACGCUGGCAAUUCGCCCUAGACGGGGCAGGCGACGGUGUCUGGGACUGGGACGCCCCGACCAACCGCGUCCACUAUUCCAGGCAGUGGAAAACGAUGUUGGGAUACUCCGAGCAGGAGAUCGGAGACAACCUGGACGAGUGGGAGCGCCGCGUUCACCCCGACGACAAGGAUGGGGUGUAUAUCGAGAUCGGGCGUCAUUUCAGGGGCGAAACCGACAUCUACCAGAGUGAGCACCGCGUCCUCUGCAAGGACGGUUCAUACAAGUGGAUUCUGGACCGCGGCAAAAUCAUCGAAUGGACGGGAGACGGAAUGCCGCGCCGCGUGAUCGGUACCCAUACGGACAUCUCCGAGCGUAAGAAGUCGGCGGGGGAGC